CUGACGAAGGGACCCAGAAUGGACUUCCCUUCACCUAAACUCUUUGAGGAACUAGAGCCUUGGCACCAUCUGCCCAUCUGCCUCCUUGGACAGUCCAGACAAAUUGGGGUUUCUACCUAAGCUCUCCUGCAAACAAGAUUUCCCACACAUCAGACACAUUUGAGCCACCCUGAGCACUCACUCAGGUCCUUGGCCACAGUGCUGGUUCCGGUUCACACUGCAUAGACUGCCCUCUGUUCAGCUCCUCACCGGCCUCCCAGAUGGAACACCAGAGACAUUUCACAAUUCUUCAUGUGUUCCCCACUGCCUUCAGGGAAAAACAUCCCCAGGAAAACUAGAGGCAUUUUCCUAAAGCAGACAGAAGGACGUGAGAAACAGUUGUAUGGUAUGGCUGGAUCACAGAUGGAAGGAAUUUAAAAUUCACUAUGGCAAUUGAAAGGGCUGAAAAAAAAAUCACCUAUUUCUGUAAUGGCAGACAUUCUAGAAGCAUCACACAUGAA